AAACUUUCAACAACGGAUCUCUUGGUUCUCGCAUCGAUGAAGAACGCAGCGAAAUGCGAUAAGUAAUGUGAAUUGCAGAAUUCAGUGAAUCAUUGAAUCUUUGAACGCACAUUGCGCCCCUUGGUAUUCCGAGGGGCAUGCCUGUUCGAGCGUCAUU
rnacentral:rRNA from 1 species